AUGUGCGGGCUCACCAGGUUAGAUAAGAUUAGGAAUGAAGUUAUUCGAGAGAAGGUGGGAGUAGCCCCGGUGGAUGAGAAGAUGCGAGAAGCGAGGCUGAGGUGGUUCGGACAUGUACGAAGGAGAAGUCCUGAUGUCCCGAUGAGGAGUUGUGAGCGGCUGGCGAUGGUCGGAGCACGGCGAGGCAGAGGGAGGCCUAAGAGGU
rnacentral:lncRNA from 1 species